GUUUGAUCCUGGCUCAGGACGAACGCUGGCGGCGCGCCUAACACAUGCAAGUCGAACGGGAACUGUCCGGAGCUUGCUUCGGAGGGUUUCAGUGGCGGACGGGUGAGUAACGCGUGAGGAACCUGCCUUUCAGAGGGGGAUAACGUCCGGAAACGGACGCUAAUACCGCAUGACAUCCCGGGAUCACAUGGUUCUGGGAUCAAAGGAGCAAUCCGCUGGAAGAUGGACUCGCGUCCGAUUAGCCGGUUGGUGAGGUAACGGCCCACCAAAGCUGCGAUCGGUAGCCGGACUGAGAGGUUGAACGGCCACAUUGGGACUGAGACACGGCCCAGACUCCUACGGGAGGCAGCAGUGGGGGAUCUUGCACAAUGGAGGGAACUCUGAUGCAGCGACGCCGCGUGAGGGAAGACGGUUUUCCGGAUUGUAAACCUCUGUCCCCGGUGACGAUAAUGACGGUAGCCGAGGAGGAAGCUCCGGCUAACUACGUGCCAGCAGCCGCGGUAAUACGUAGGGAGCGAGCGUUGUCCGGAUUUACUGGGUGUAAAGGGUGCGUAGGCGGCUGAACAAGUCAGGUGUGAAAACCAUCGGCUCAACUGAUGGAUUGCACUUGAAACUGUGCAGCUUGAGUGAAGCAGAGGCAGGCGGAAUUCCCGGUGUAGCGGUGAAAUGCGUAGAGAUCGGGAGGAACACCAGUGGCGAAGGCGGCCUGCUGGGCUUUAACUGACGCUGAGGCACGAAAGCAUGGGUAGCAAACAGGAUUAGAUACCCUGGUAGUCCAUGCCGUAAACGAUGAUUACUAGGUGUGGGUGGUCUGACCCCAUCCGUGCCGGAGUUAACACAAUAAGUAAUCCACCUGGGGAGUACGGCCGCAAGGUUGAAACUCAAAGGAAUUGACGGGGGCCCGCACAAGCAGUGGAGUAUGUGGUUUAAUUCGAAGCAACGCGAAGAACCUUACCAGGUCUUGACAUCUGCCGGAUCCCGCGGAGACGCGGGGGUGCCCUUCGGGGAGCGGCAAGACAGGUGGUGCAUGGUUGUCGUCAGCUCGUGUCGUGAGAUGUUGGGUUAAGUCCUGCAACGAGCGCAACCCUUGUGAUUAGUUGCUACGCAAGAGCACUCUAAUCAGACUGCCGUUGACAAAACGGAGGAAGGUGGGGAUGACGUCAAAUCAUCAUGCCCCUUAUGACCUGGGCUACACACGUACUACAAUGGCCGCGCACAGAGGGAAGCGAAACCGCGAGGCGGAGCGAACCCCCAAAAACGGUCUCAGUUCGGAUCGCAGGCUGCAACCCGCCUGCGUGAAGCUGGAAUUGCUAGUAAUCGCGGAUCAUCAUGCCGCGGUGAAUACGUUCCCGGGCCUUGUACACACCGCCCGUCACACCAUGGGAGCCGGUAAU
rnacentral:rRNA from 1 species